rnacentral:rRNA from 1 species
UACGUAGGGGGGCGAGCGUUGUCCGGAUUCAUUGGGCGUAAAGAGCUCGUAGGCGGCUUGGCAAGUCGGGUGUGAAAACUUCAGGCUCAACCUGGAGCGGCCACUCGAUACUGCCAUGGCUUGAGUCCGGUAGGGGACCACGGAAUUCCCGGUGUAGCGGUGAAAUGCGCAGAUAUCGGGAGGAACACCAGUGGCGAAGGCGGCACUCUGGGCCGGAACUGACGCUGAGGAGCGAAAGCGUGGGGAGCGAACAGG